rnacentral:lncRNA from 1 species
GCGUUGCUGCUCACUGAGACCAUGGACCUUGGUGGGGAUUUAAUCUCAGUCACCUGGAAACACCUAUGAGAAGGACUUGAGAUCCCAAGGUUGCACUGCAAACAUGAACCUUAAGCAAAAGUACCUGAAGAUCCCCUGUCCAGUCUCCCUGCUCCCAGGCUGUGGCUGGCCUCUGCAAUCUACCAAGAAAAAGGCCGAAUUUCUACAACUCAACCUCCUUCUCUUCUUUGUAUAAAAUGGCAGUUGCCUUAAAUUAUUCUCACCAAAGCCAUCAACUGCCCUGUCAUGCCAGGGAUGAGGAAUUUAUCUUUAGCUGUAGGAAAGUGAGUGAGAAGGUCUCAUCCACGCACUGUGUUUUGUAAUUGUCUUGGUUGACUUGAUGUUGGAGGUUUCCCAAAGAGUAUCAUCCACGGCCUGAAAACGCAACAAUGUGCAACAACCAAAAUGACUCCUGAGAGCUGUGCCACGGCUAGGGCUGGGCAGCGUCUCCCUCCAUGCUCGUAUGUUAUUCAAAGGGACAAGCAAAAAGUCUUUCCUUUCCCCAUCAUAUGGAGUCGUUUUCCACGUACGGAGGACUGAGAGGGGGAGCAUGUUGACACUGGGCUUGGUGAAGUGUGACCGGAGCCCUGUGAAUGCCUGCCGACGAGCCAUGGUCGGGGCUGCGGGGUGGGGUGUGAGGGGCUGGCUGGUGUGAGGCUGCUGGUGUGCCCAGGGGUGCUGCGGGUGCAGACAGUGCCCAUUUCAGGGCUGGGCACCAUCCAAGCUCUCUCGUGCCGCCAGCAAUGCUGUGUGUGAAAGCAUCUUGCAGCGGGUGACUUCCCUCUGUAACGGGAAAGGAAAUCAAUGUGCUGAAUUUGCCCCUUUACCCCUUUUUUUUCUUUUUUCCCUAUGAAAAUGGUGCGAGUUACAAUUGAAAGGAGGUACUUACUGAACAAUACCCCUGUAUACCCACAGGUUCCUCCUCCUCCUCCUCCUCGUAGUGCUGAGCUGUGAGGGGGCUCCAGUGCUGCUUUUUCACCGAAACAAAGCGGACAGCCUUUCCCAGCAGAGCGUGCAGGGUGGCUGUUGUGGGAGAGGUGAGGUUAUUCCUGAAAGGAGAAAGGUGCAGAGACCCGAGUGACUCCAGUGUGUUUGGGCAUUGCGCUCAAAACUAUGCAGCAGCCAGCCUUUCAGCAAGGGUAGAGCACAGAGGGGCAAUAGAGCUGUUGUUCUGUGUGCCAGGCUUAGAGGCCUGGACAGUUUGCAGCAAUUCUUCCCAAGGCUGCAAUAGAGAAGUGACCUUUGGAAGGAGAUGUUGCCACUGUGAUCUGCUCUGAUCCUUAGCAGUGUGAGCUUAGAAAGUCGGCACAGAUGAAGUUACAGUUUAGUGUGAGGCUGAGUGCUUGGACCUGUUUCUUCCUUCUUUUAAGAGCAAUAUGUAUUUUGUAUCUAUUUUUAAGUUAAUCGGAAAUGUUAUUUAUAGUCGGUUGUGCACCUCUGUGUAUUCUGAAGUCUCACAGCACAGGACUGGGUGGGAAAACCUGAGAGACUGGAAAGAACGUGGAAGCGAUGGUCGAGGGAAAAAACAGAUGGCCAGUCUGCUCCAAAGGUCUUACGAAGAUGCAGAUAUGUUUCACUCUUCACACAAAAAUACCUUCAUCACAGAUUUUGCAAGCUGUGUACUACAAUCCAUGUACUGCUGUCUGGAGUUUUGUCGGUUGUUCUGCUGGAAUACGUGCAAUAAUAAACAGUUAUCUGCUCACUGUAUCCAUGUUUAUCUUUGCGAGUGCCUUGCACUGGAUGACAGGCACGUGCUAAUUCAGACCUUGUCUCAUAAAUAACCUGUUGGCUGUGUUUUCUCUAGAGGAUGGCUCAGCUCGGAGGGGAAGGCUGAUCCGUCAGAGCCCCAGACGUGGAGGAGGAGGUGAGCCAGGCUCCAACCUGGGAUGCCUCACACUGUCAGUGCCUGCAGGAUCUGGGCUCUCUGGGAACUCAGGGCUGCCCUGGCCUCUGCACAAAGCACACAGUGCUGGUGGUGCUGAGUGCCCCCAGGAUUACCAGCAAGGGAAGAAAACAGAACAUCACCAACCAGAAACUGGUUGGCAGAGUCUGUGUGCCAGCUGUGGGGUGCAGAUUGCAGACAGUGCUGUUGUGCUGCUGUUAAAGCCUCAUCCCAAACACAGCGAUGCUCUGGGAGCCAUGUGUCAGCACCAAGCCACCUGGGCUGUGUUCAUGCAACAAUCAGAGCUCCAUCGGUAUGCCUUCAACAGGUCUGUGCUGCCUGCCAUCCCCUGGGGCUGCUGCCACAUUUCUUCUAGACCAUGCACUGCUGCCUGCUCCCCCAGCACCAUGCCUCUGUGCUUGGAGAGGGGUAAUUCUUGCUAACCUGCCGCCCUCAGUUCCUCUGCACCGACUUAAAGGCUUGUGGAUGUGGUCAGGACACAAAUGGGGGAAAGGAGCAGUGUUGCACUGUGGCUGACUGCACAGAGAGGAGGCAAUCGCAGGAGUGCCCCAGGACCCUGUGCAGCAUCAGCCCCAUAAGCCCACAAAUGGAUGGAUGCCAACGCCUGUCAGCAAUCUGCCC